rnacentral:misc_RNA from 1 species
AGGCAAUCCAUGAAGCUUAAAGACAACAUCAAUAAAAAUAUGGCCUACUGAUCAAUGACAAAUGUUCAGAAAAAUUAGGUAAAGCUAAGACUGGAGCUGUAGACAUUAGUUCCUUGAGCUUCUCAAAAGGCCUUUGAACAUUAUCACUCCACUGAAAUGAAUACUUCUUUAAUAAAUUAGUUGAGGGCUUACAAAUAACCCCAUAAUUCUUGAUAAAUUUUUUGUAAUAGCCUGUGUCCCAGAAAACUCUUGAGAUCCUUAACUAAAGUAGGAACAAGCCAUUUUAUCGUAGCGGCAACCUUCUUGGGAUCAGUUGCAACCCAGUUCUGAUA